AUGAGGUGCUUGGUUUUUUUUUUGUUAGUCAUAUUUGCAUAGGUACACAAUGUAGUAGGUACGAACUUUAGUCAAUUUUCAAUAUGUUUUUAUCAUACGAUGGUAAAUGCAUCGCAAAUUCAUUCUAAUCAAGAAUGAUGUGGAGUUAACGUAGCGCGAUAUUUUGCAUUAUUGGAAAUGAUGCUCCACUUUCUGCUUCUUCUUCUUCUUGUGUCAUAGAACUAUCAGAAUCAAUCGAAAAUGAAAGAAAACUGAAACAUUUGAGGUGCCGUUGGACGAUUUACUAUCUACGAGUACUAUCUACAUACCCAAUCUACUCAAGUUACUUGAAUUUCAUCAAUUUUCAAUAUACGAAUACAAAAUGACUUUCGUAUGCAACGAACUGACAUUUCGACGAAUUUUCCAUUUUUUCAACUUCUCAACCUGCCAGACUGAGUACUCAGCACCAUGACCGUCAAUUGAACCAAAUGUUGACUUCGUCGCAGCAAACAAAACCAGCAAUACCAUUCAGCAUUCGCUCAAUUUUCGUAGAAGCGUAACGAGCAUUGAUCUGUCAAAGCAUCCCGGACGACAGGAAUCGGAUGGUGUUUCUUUUUGGAAGCCGCCAUCGCCGAGCCAACGCGCAAUAGUUGAAGAACAAUUUGUUCGACGCAAUUAACCGGCUGUAAAACACGGUUUGCGGAAAAAAUGUUUAAAAAUAAGCGUACAUCCUGUGCCAUGGCGAUGGCGUGUACGACGACCGCGAUGUACAUUGAAAUGUAAGUUACCAUGUACAUAGACAUAGACAUAGACGACAGACACACGUAGCCUAGUCAUACCUCUAUAGCUCUGUAGCAAUAGCAAAACCGCUACAAAACACCAAAGCGUAAUUUGCGUUGCAACUUUCUCUAGGUACGACGACGAGUAAUAAAAAAGUUGGCAUUCAAAGUCGCUGUGUCGAUGAAAUGAAACGCCAAACGGCAUCGGGCAUCGGUCGCAGAGCGGCACAAGGCGACCGAAUGCGGCCAUCGCCAUCGCGCCAGCAUCCAUGUGGAUGUGCAUUGUUUCUCAUUGGCCGCUGUAACAUAAUCUUUUUUGCAGCCAACCACAAGCGCAACUUGCAGAUAACAUUGGUUCUGUCUGCGAGUCUACGUUAUAAAUCAAGCAAAGAGCUAUAAUGUGUACGACGUAUAAUAGGUCAUACAGUCGUUUGUAAAUUACUGCUGGUAUCCUUUUUCUUCGGCGUACAAGACGCAUGGUUUUCUGAUAACGCUGCGAUACUGUGCGGCCAUCGAAUCCCCGCGCACCGCCUCACGUCCAGUCGUCGUCGUCGCUGGUCGUCGUCUUGGUCUUACUGACUGUUCUGUUGCGCCUUUACCUACUCUCUGCAGAUAUACAUUUUCGCUCAAUAUAUUCCGAGCACGUUGGUAGUUGGCACAGCUGUAAUACGAUAUUAUAUUACCUUUUAUAUAACCGGUCCAAGAACAUAGCAAAAAAUUUGUUGCAUCCAUUCGCGCACUAUCCCACAGCCACAGGAGUAUAUUGUCUAUGUACCCAAUAUCCAAUGCCCAAUGCCCAUGCUAUGCUGUAGCUGUGCCAAACCAUGCUCCGUGCUCUUUAUGCUUCGUUCCAUGGGAAAUGCGAGAUCCAUUCCAUUCCAUUCAACAGGAAAAGAAGCAAGUUUCAGCAAGGAAACACCAAACACGAAGAAAAUAACGAGCAAUGAUGAUGAUGAAAAAUUCAUGCAAUGGUGUCAAAAAAAUGUUCACUGCCAGAAGCAGAAGAUCAAUUAUUUUUGAAAGCAUCACCGUAUAGGAAAUUUCAUGACGUCGACUCUCGGAUUUGUUCUCAUGUAAAGGUUGGAUAUUGGAUAAUUCAAGUCGAAAAAAAAGUAGCAGGUAUACAUCGUUAUACAAGUGUAUAGAGAGCUUCUUAAGGGCUGAUCCUUUGGAACAUUUAGUUUCAUGAGAUUCUCUUACGUCAUUGAAGCCUUCAGUAACUUAUCGGGUUCUGAAUCUGAAACUGAACGCAUCAUCCAAAAUGAAAGGCCUCAUCGAUGAUACUAUGUAUUAAGUUGGCGUUUUAUCGCGAUACUGAGAAAUUAAAUGAGACAUUUGAUUAAUUAUUUGCAAAUGUUAUCUUAUUAUAUCUAAUGUAUUUUAAACAAGAUGCUGAGUCAUAAUGAGGACCACUUCGUCUAUUAAAAUUACGCGUACUAUAAAUAGAACUUUACGUGUUUUCAGGCCAGACUCAAAAACCGAUGAUAGUGUUCAUCUGUAUCCCAAGAGAGCUGACUAAACUAUAACAUACGAGUCUAUUAUAUGCCGACCUAUGGUACUCAGUCAUAUCAGUAUAGGUACGUGUAUUUAUUUACAGAUAUCUAUCGAUGACAUCGCAGAGAAAAACGGCGAGUUACUGACAUACAUAUCCAGAUGGUUCCUGAGUGAUGUCAGCAUUUCGAAUGGGUCUGGGGUCUAUGCUCUGUAUGUCACCCACUGGAGGUUUCCUCGCGAAAAUCAGCACUUUUGGGAACGUUGACACAAAUUCCACUUUUUUGUUUCUCAUUCCGCCAAUGGUUCUGUCGUAUUGUGUCACCAUUUUACUUAAUCAAACACGAAGUCACAAUUUUAAAAAUGAUUCGCGAAUUUACUCAAUUAAAUAAGGAAAAUCGCUAUCCUUCACCUUCAGUCAUGUAAAAUUCUGAAUUUUCAAGGAAAGCUUUGCUUGUACAUAUUUCUCGAUACUUACUAAUUGUUUCGUGUUUUACAGUACAUCUACGUAUAGACCUACAUCUCGAUCAUCAAGGAUCGUUGCCCACAGGCCACAUUCAUCAACAGUCCUUUAAGCGAACAAUUCACUAUUUACACAAUCUAUACUCGUAAUCGUGAUAAUGAAUAAAUCAGACAAAAUGUCUAAGUGUAAAAUCUAUCGUAGCCAAUAACCAUAUCUUUUACUCAUUGCAAAUAGGUAAUAGUGUCUUUCAGUAUACCUACACUUUACGCACCAUUUCCUCAUUCUUCUCCAUCUCUGUCUCGCCAACGGCCAACGCUUAAAAUGCGGAGGAAAACUCCGAUCUACACAAUUACCAGCACGCAAGCUACAUUGAACACGAUUGUCACGGAUUUUCUGCGUGUAUUUUCACAAGUUUUUUUUUCCUUCUACGUCUUUUCGCCGACGACGACGGUACUGCAGCGUUAUCGUGACACAUUCGAGUACACUUUCAAUUGUUUCGUAUUGCUUGGUAAUACGUACUUGGCACUUGGCGUUUAUUUAUUGCCUUUCUGAAUAUCGUUGUGUGCCUCUUUAGGUGCACUUCAGUGCAUAUUUUACGUGCAACAAUUGUCCUCAAAGCUUGCGAAGUACGCGAGGUAGGUAGUCACUUAGCCAUGUAAGCGUCGAUUGAUGACAUUGACUCAGUUAGCGAAUUUCUUCCUGUUGAAUACACCUUUAAAAUUUUACCAUUAAGAGAGAUCUAGCGGGAAAAUUUUGAACCA